GAUGAACGCUGGCGGCGUGCCUAAUACAUGCAAGUCGAGCGAACGGACGAGAAGCUUGCUUCUCUGAUGUUAGCGGCGGACGGGUGAGUAACACGUGGAUAACCUACCUAUAAGACUGGGAUAACUUCGGGAAACCGGAGCUAAUACCGGAUAAUAUUUCGAACCGCAUGGUUCAAAAGUGAAAGACGGUCUUGCUGUCACUUAUAGAUGGAUCCGCGCUGCAUUAGCUAGUUGGUAAGGUAACGGCUUACCAAGGCAACGAUGCAUAGCCGACCUGAGAGGGUGAUCGGCCACACUGGAACUGAGAGACGGGCCAGACUCCUACGGGAGGCAGCAGUAUGGAAUCUUCCGCAAUGGGCGAAAGCCUGACGGAGCAACGCCGCGUGAGUGAUGAAGGUCUUCGGAUCGUAAAACUCUGUUAUUAGGGAAGAACAUAUGUGUAAGUAACUGUGCACAUCUUGACGGUACCUAAUCAGAAAGCCACGGCUAACUACGUG
rnacentral:rRNA from 1 species